AUUGAACGCUGGCGGCAGGCCUAACACAUGCAAGUCGAGCGGAGCGGCGGACGGGUGAGUAAUGCCUAGGAAUCUGCCUGGUAGUGGGGGAUAACGUCCGGAAACGGGCGCUAAUACCGCAUACUAUCAGAUGAGCCUAGGUCGGAUUCGCUAGUUGGUGGGGUAAAGGCCUACCAAGGCGACGAUCCCUAGCUGGUCUGAGAGGAUGACCAGCCACACUGGAACUGAGCCACGGUCCAGACUCCUACGGUAGGAAGCAGGGGGGAAGAUUGCGCAAUGGGCGCAAGCGUGAUGCAGCCAUGCCGCGGGUAUGAAGAAGGCCUUCUGGUUGUAAAGUACUUUCAGCGGGGAGGCGUUACCCGCAGAAGAAGCACCGGCUAACUCCGUGCCAGCAGCAGCGGUAAUUC
rnacentral:rRNA from 1 species